AUUGAACGCUGGCGGCAUGCCUUACACAUGCAAGUCGAACGGCAGCACGGGAGCAAUCCUGGUGGCGAGUGGCGAACGGGUGAGUAAUAUAUCGGAACGUGCCCAGUCGUGGGGGAUAACGUAGCGAAAGCUACGCUAAUACCGCAUACGAUCUAUGGAUGAAAGCGGGGGAUCGCAAGACCUCGCGCGAUUGGAGCGGCCGAUAUCAGAUUAGGUAGUUGGUGGGGUAAAGGCUCACCAAGCCGACGAUCUGUAGCUGGUCUGAGAGGACGACCAGCCACACUGGAACUGAGACACGGUCCAGACUCCUACGGGAGGCAGCAGUGGGGAAUUUUGGACAAUGGGCGCAAGCCUGAUCCAGCAAUGCCGCGUGCAGGAUGAAGGCCUUCGGGUUGUAAACUGCUUUUGUACGGAACGAAACGGCGAGCUCUAAUACAGUUUGCUAAUGACGGUACCGUAAGAAUAAGCACCGGCUAACUACGUG
rnacentral:rRNA from 1 species